rnacentral:tRNA from 1 species
GGUCUUGUAUUCAUUUUGUGAUUAUAGAAUGCAAUUCUAUAGGGGUGGGUUGAGUUCUUACCAAGGCCU